GAAAAAUAGAUUUGGAGGUAUGGGGAAUUGAACCCCAGACUUCUCACAUGCGAAGCGAGCGCUCUACCCCUGAGCUAUACCCCCACGAAAAAUUGCAAUAAAAGUAACUGAUAGAAAAGACAGAGA
ensembl:ncRNA F44A2.10 ncRNA